AGGGUGGAGUUUUGUGAAGCUUAUGGCAUAUGUGUGACGGAAAGAAAGGUGUUUAAAUCAUGUCUUUCCGACUCGCACUCAUGCCGUUGGUUUCAGAUCACUCCUCCCU